rnacentral:piRNA from 1 species
GCUGGUUAUAGUGAGAUAUAAAUGUUGAC